UGUCAGCAGUAAGCUCACUCUCCAAGUUACAAGGCCAUUCUCAGCACACACUGACAACAUGCUGGGGACCCUCUGCACUCUCAUCACUGCUCUAACAUGUGUGAGUGGUGUGACGGUGGUGACACAGAAGCCUCCUGUUGUGACGCUGAGGAAAGGAGAGACAGCCACCAUGGACUGUAACCUGGGGACUGUUACUAACAGUGCUGCUCGCUGGUACAAACAGACUCCAGGAGGAGUUCCUCAGUAUAUACUGAGGUUUUAUCAUACAAACAGUGCUCCAACCUAUGGCUCUGGUUUCUCCUCUCCCAAGUUCACAUCUAAUCAUCAGUCAACAUCAGAUUAUCGUUUGAUCAUCAACAAUGUGGAGGAGGGAGACUCAGCAGUCUAUUACUGUAACACAUGGGACGACUCUGCUAAGGAGCACGUAUCACAGUGAUUUACACUGUGACAAAAACCUCUCACUGAACACUUCUGCUUUUUGAGACUCUCACAUAUUGUUACUAUGACUGAAGCUUUCAGCCCAUAUGUCCUGUAACUCCUGCA